rnacentral:rRNA from 1 species
CCUACGGGAGGCAGCAGUGGGGGAUAUUUCCCAAUGGGGGGAACCCUGAUGCAGCGACGCCGCGUGGGUGAAGAAGCGCCUCGGCGCGUAAAGCCCUUUCCGCCGGGGAGAAAAUGACGGUACCUGAAGAAGAAGCCCCGGCUAACUACGUGCCAGCCGCCGCGGUAAUACGGAGGGGGAAAGCUGUAUCCAGAUUUACUGGGUGUAAGGGGGGCGCAGACGGCGGUGCAAGCCAGGAGUGAAAGCCCGGGGCCCAACCCCGGGACUGCUCUUGGAACUGCGUGGCUGGAGUGAAGGAGAGGCAGGCGGAAUUCCUAGUGUAGCGGUGAAAUGCGUAGAUAUUAGGAGGAACACCAGUGGCGAAGGCGGCCUGCUGGGCUUUAACUGACGCUGAGGCUCGAAAGCGUGGGGAGCAAACAGGAUUAGAUACCCCUGUAGUC